CCCCGGACGCCCGCAGCCCGAGGGAACCACCAGGGACCGGGCGGUCCUCGGCGACUUGGAAUGAGGACUGCAGAGGCGGCGCGCACGGGAAGUAGCUGGCAAUCUUUGGAUAGGUCCAUUGUUGUGGAUAUUGAUGAUGUCCCUCUGAAGGGACAGAGGAAGCAAUGAUGAUCACCGGUCAUGUUACGGUAACAGGAAAUCAUUUCUGGCAGAAGAUUUGUCACAAAACAGACUUGUCAGCUUUUUCUAGCUGGCAUGUAAAGAAGGAACAAAUUUCCAUACACAUCUUCUGGGCUUCCCUGGUGGCACAGUGGUUGAGAAUCUGCUUGCCAAUGCAGGGAACACGGGUUCGAGCCCUGGUCUGGGAAGAUCCCAUAUGCCGCGGAGCAACUAGGCCCGUGAGCCACAACUUCUGAGCCUGCGCGUCUGGAGCCUGUGCUCUGCAACGGGAGAGGCCGCGAUAGUGAGAGGCCCGCGCACCGCGAUGAAGAGUGGCCCCCACUUGCCGCAACUAGAGAAAGCCCUCGCACGGAAACGAAGA